AAAGCCCCGUGCAGCACCAUCUUCUCUGCGUAACACCACGGCUGCCUCGCAGCUGCCUUCCGCUAGGAACAGGAACACAGUCCCUUCCACGACACGUUUUUAAGGCAUACCUCCAAAGCAGCAAUUUUUGGAGAAGCGGUUCAAGCGAGAGGUCAGGACGGCAGAGGAGAGCCUGCAGAAGGACAGGUGAGCUGCAGACAGCUGGUACCUAAUCAGUGAAGUGGGCGUGUGCACCUGUGUUUCUCCUAAAAUAAUCCUCCUAACGUGUGGAAAAAAUCUGGGCUUGAUGUGCUUUAGCGCAUGUCCCUCCAGAUGGAACUGAACCUGGCGAGGGAUGUUAAAAACAACAAGAGGGGAUGCUAUAGGUCCAUUGGUCAGAAGAGACAGGCCAACGAGAGCGUACCUCCUCUGCUGAAUGAGAAAGGAGAACUGGCUACAACAGGCAUGGAGGAGGACUUAGGGGUCCUGCUAGACCCCUAAAAAUUCAACGUGAGCCAGCAGCGCGUGCUUGCAGCCUGGAAGGCCACAUUCUUAUGAUUUGAACACAGGUAAAACUUUAACCUCAUUUUCACAGAUUGAAGCCAGAAGAGCCAUUCCGUGGCAGAGUACAAAUUCUGGUCCUCCAGGGGGGCUGAGGCACGUGGCAUGGAACUGCUGAGGCUGAGGUUCUCUGGCCAGCUGCUGCCACACGUUCCCAUCUGUGUCAGGGUGCAUCCCAGAUAAAGUUCAAGGGUUUGGUUCUUCACUGAUGCUGCCAGCUUUGCGUUACUGUGAGCACAGCUAAUGAAGGAGGCCAGUACCAUCUCCCUGGUCUGCUGCAGUCUUACAGGAAGGCAGUAAGAGCAAACUCACAGCGAAUGAGGCAGGAACCUUUACAAGUGCGGUCGAUGCUGCUUUAUGGAUGACAAGGAGCAGCGCAGAAAAUGCUCAGAUACCCUUCUGCCAGCCUUUCCCAGUCACACAAAACACUAGUCCUGCUCCCACCACAGCCUACAGAUGCUCUCUCAGUAGGGCCACACUGGUUUGCAGCUCAGCCUUCCCUACAGAAAGCAGUCAGAAGGCAGAAAUUGCUACACCAGCUUCAGGCACCACUCAUUUCCUGAACGGCAGCAGGCUUCUGUCACCUGUGUCCAUCCUUUCUCUCUGGGGAACUAUUUUUCCUCUCCUCCCAGUUCAGUGGUUGCAGCGCCCUUACAGAAGGCAGCUGCACGGGCAGGGCACUGGAGCAGACCCAGGGAACUCCUCACACAUGCUCCAGGCCAUGGCCACGUCUUCUGAAUCUGUGCCCUCAGAGCCAAACCAAUGCAAACAGGUCCCUCCGGCUGCCCAGGGCACACACAUGAACCACGUGUGUCUCUGGUGUAUGUUGUUCCCUGGGGCUGCUAAUCCAGGAGCUGAGUGGUGUUUGUACAGAAUUCUGACCAAGCAAGAGUCACUGAGAAUUAAGUUUAUUACAAAAUGGGUCCUGAGCAAUACUACCUGUGAACUUUACUUUAAAAUCGUUGCAUUUAUCACUUCAACGGGUAUUUCAAAGAAAAAUAAAGUACUUUUCAAGAAAAUUAGCAUAGCCGUUGUAGUAGGAGUGCUUUGCACUUAUAAUUACUCCAGUGGAUUUCUGGAAAGACUUCAGCAUGGCCUGACUCAGGGAUUUCACCCAAAUAGCAUGGAAGCCAACACAAGCAGAGCCAAUUUCAUCAAGCACAACAGCCAUCUGAGGAGCAGAGCCAGCUCAGGCCUCAUGAAAACAACCAUCACACAAUAAGUAGACAACUGUACUGCUAUCUUUACCCAUACUCUACUGGCUUUUCAUUGAGAGCAAAUGAUCAGCAAACAAAAGACAUUAAUUAACGUCUAGUAGCAUAUUCAGAAGCAAUGUUUGUCUCACGAAGAGGCGAGGACUGGGUUCCAAGGGUUGGGGCUCCCCAUUCUAAAACCCACACCCGGAUUUCCUCCAGGUAGAUACUUAUCUACAGAAUCACCCUUACCUCCCUAAAUAGGGAUUAGCAGCCUUUAUCUACCUCCUAGGGGAAGAUUAAUAACGGGAAAACCCAUGACGAGUGCAAAGAUAAAGGCGACCAUUAUCAUUAUUACUACGUUGUUUUCUCCGAGUGCUGUUAGCAGAGAAAUUGUUGUGGUUGAAGGAAGAAGGCAGGAGCAGAGUGCUUCCUCUGUCCAUCGAAACACUGGGGCUGGCUGGGCACAAACCUGCUGCAACACGCUUGCUGAGCAGUGGUUAGGCAGUGCCUUUAGAGCCCCAUGGCAAAGCCCCAGGAAGGUCUGUGGCCGUGUCUUCCUCCUGGAGCCCCAACAGAGCCGAAUGGAAAAGGUGGGAUACCUUGAUGUGUAAACAGCACAAUAGUAAAGGUAUACUGCCAACACAAAAAAUACACCGAGAGUCUGACUGCUGACAAGAUGAGAUAAAAGUAACGAAGGCUGAAAUUACGUGGGUGAAUGGCACGCGGUGUCAGGUUGAAUGGGCCCUAACUGGACAGACCAGCCCAAGCACCUUGGUGGCUGAGGGCUGGAAGUCAGACAGUUGGGCUGCGAGAGGCAGUCUAGACUGAGGAAUGCUCCGGGACACUGAAAUGAGAUUAUUUCAUGCAUUAUACAUUAACACCACAAACCGCUGACUCUUUCCAGGAGAGCAGCGUGUCCCCGCUUUGCUGGAGUUAAAAAUGAAAACAUUAACUUGGAGGUCAAAGGAUGAAAUGUAGCUGAAAAAAACAAAAAACAGCCCUUGCUAGUAGUAUAUAGUCAUGCCAAAGAUGAGUAAGAGGGAUUGGACAGAGAAAGCCUUUGCCAUGAGCCCUGCUUGCUGGGGUCAGAGGAGGGCAGCUCAGUCUCAAUGCUCCCUAGGGCCAGCGAGGAGGAGGAACACGUAAGGCAGUGCCCAGCCGAGGGAAGCAGCUCAGAACUGUGCAAGCUGAUCAGCAGAGGGCUUCCAGCAGCAGCCACUAAGCUGAGCCCCACAUUAUCCUGUGCUGCUAAAUCCCUAUUCACCACCGCACAGCACAGCGAAAGGCGAAUUCUGCUCUCAGAAGAUGAUUUGGGAGACAAACUAUUUCAGUGAUUAACUGCGCUGAUCUAGUCUCCCACUGUGAAAAUCUGCAUCUGUGCUUAAUGCCUCAAAAUACCACUACGAGCAAAGCUUCUGCAUUUACAUACGAUUUACAGAUUAACUUGUCUCAAUGUGACUGUUAAUAAGCUUACUUGAAGAGCUCAAAUGGACUGAGCGGAGGGGAAGCAGGUUCCUACACACGUUGCUGGAACAGCUCCCUGCCUGGUGAUGGGGUAUUUCUUCAGGCAGCAGAGACCUGAAACAUUUCAGCAUCCUCUCCUUGCCUCUUAGUUUGCCCCGUUCUAAUUUUAUCCUUUAUUUCAACUGGCCCACAGCUCAGGUAUCGGUGCCGUUAUUACACCUACACAACUAAAAGAAAUGAGACACUUCCUAAAAAAAAAAAAAAAAAUGAUAGUACAGGAAUUGCUCCAGCUUUGCACAGAUGUCCGCAGGGCAGGAGAACACUUUCUCCUUGUAGCCAUGUGGGGAGGCUGGGCACAAGGCACUGCUCAAGCUGAGGCUGGUACUCCUGCCACGGCCAGGGCACUGCUCCUGCAGAAGCUUGCUCUGCGUUGCUGUUGGCUGCCCUCAAUGUCCAAACAAAGGGUUAUAUUUAGAGAGAAGACUGAGCCAUAGCUUCCAACCCGUCCCUGAUUUUUAACGUGUCCUUUGUACGGGGGUGGGAGUUUAAGAGUAAUUCCUUCAGCAAGGAAUGCAAGGGAAGUACCGGGAAUACAUUUUUGCAUGAUUGGAAAAAGGAACAAAAAGCACAAGAGAAAAGAAAAAAAAAAUAAAGGACGCAAGAAGAUUUAGGAUGAGUUUCAAAAACAAGCUUUUAUACAGAAUCUUCUACUAUAAACUUGCUCAAGGCAUUUCCACACCGGAGGGCCGUGCUACCAUUCAACAAGACCCGGACAGACAGGAGAGCUGGGCAGGGAGGAACCUGAUGAUGUUUAACAAGAGCAAGUGUAGUUAUUUACUGCUAAGUGAUACUGCUUUUUUUUCUUCUAGAGCAACAACUCACUGCAGAACUUCACAGUACGCUGGAGAAUACAGAUGCUGUAACACUGCUGGGACUGGGAGCUGACUUCGCACAUUGACUGGUCCCUUGCAGCAUUAAAGUGAGCGAUGUGAAUGAAGCACGUUGGAAAUCUUUGCAACAUAGUGCAUUCCUUGUGCUGCACAGCACUGACAGUACUGAGAGGGAUGCUCCAUUGAACCAUCUUGGGGAAAAAAAUAGAUAGUAGUUUCCCUAUGACUAUAAAAUUGAGAAAGACAAGGAAGGUCUGACUCACAUCUUUCUCGUCUCUCAUAAUGGAGCAAUACAGCAGCCAAAUGAAAUGCUUACUGUAAGCUAAGCACUGAGCACCCCACCUCAGUACCUCCCUGUUCUUGGCCACCUGUUAUCAGGGCAUUGCAAAACAUCCAUUUGGUUGGGCAAUGCUGUAUUUGUAUUCUCACUUAUUUCACAUCUCCCUAUCAGGAAUGCACAACCUGUGCUCCCUCCAUUGGUAUUGUUUGCAUUCUUGUGCUCUUUCUGGCUCCCUCCUGAGCUGCAGGACAUUAGAUGCAGGCAGCUGGCUGGGUGCAGCUCUGAUGAUACAAGAGGCAGCAGGACAAACCUUGUUAAAAGUAUCUGAAACAAAUCCUCAGGGCAGUAGGGGUUAUUUUAGGGCACUUCAGAUGGCUGUAAGCUUUUGCUUUGUUCACUACUCAGCUUCAAGAACACCUGAGAUAAAUUACAGGACAUUUAGGUGGGAAGUAAGGAAGAACUUUUUUACAAUAAGGGCAGUGAGGCACUGGCACAGGCUGCCCAGAGAGGUGUGGGUGCCCCAUCCCUGCAGACAGCCAAGGUGAGGCUGGAUGGGCUCUGAGCACCUGAUGGAGCUGUGGGUGUCCCUGUUCUGUGCAGGGGGUUGGACCAGAUGGCCUUUAAGGGCCCCUUCCAACUUAAACCCUUCUAUGAAAUACUUGCUCAAGCACCUACCAAACUUCUGAGUUCCACGUGAAUAAAGGCACCAAAACACACACACUGAACACAGACAUCUCAGAGACAGACUUAUGUCACAAAUGACAAAAAGACCAAGAGCCCAUUUGGAAAAGCUCAGAAUACAGCUACCUAAGAAUGCCGUGCCACUCCCAGAAAGACUUCAUUUUGCCAAACAGGUAACUGAAUGCUUAGAGCUAGUUAAGACAAACAUUCAGUCUGGGGUGAAAACCUGACCUUCUCUUACUUGGAUGUAAAAAAUUACACUUGCCCUUGUACACAACCCUUGCUGCGCUGGGCUGCGUGCACAAUAGCGAGCAUUUAUGUCCUUGCCUUUGUUCUUCUCCAGAGGGUCAGGUAAGGAUGGAUCAUCAAAGCAGAACAGUGAUUUCCCACCAGAAGCCCGUGAUGAACACACAGCACAAACAGAGCAGCUGCCAGCCAGCAGCAGCAGGGAGGCAACCAAAGGGAGGCAGCUGCUGGAGAAGGGGAGUGCAGAGAAUCGGCUCAUGGAUAUUGUGUCUGCAUGCGGCAAAGAGAGGGUAAAAAAUAAAAGGAAAAGGGAGUAAAGACAUUCUGACACCUGCUUGUCCUAAAUAAAUCUCUGCAGGGUUCCCUCUGCUCUUUCUGAAGCUCUACAGCACUGUGAUGGAGUAAAGGUGCAAAACACCAGAGCGUGUGAGAGCACCUGAACUGCCUUCCAAGCCGACGCGAGUGGUGCUGCCACACAAACAAAGCCAGGCUCUGUUCUUCUGUUAUUUCCACUUUCAUGCCUUCCUGCUUGGGAAAGUGACCCAACCCAGAGCUGCCAGCUUGUGCUUGGCAAGGAGCUCCUCUGGGCAGCACCCCUGGCCUGCCCACGUGCAGGCUCUACAAGCAAGCUGCCGGUUUACGGGCAGCACCAACCCUCUCGCAGCAACCCGCUCCUCCAGCCGCACCCUGCAAAAAUGAGGUUGUUCCUGCAGAACUGCCUCUGCAGCAGGGCUCUUCCCAGCGGUGCUGCAGGGAAAGGAAAGCGUCUUGUCACGCCUGGAACACGGACACAGCUGAAGUCAAAGCAGGCAGAAAUAAAGCAAGCUAAAAAAAAAAGGCUUAAAGCUGUCUCUGUUUGGGACUUUUCUACUUUCCUCAAGAAAAACACCUGGCACCAACUUCACAGCCCAGCUAACUCCCAGUGAGUGCAGCACGGCCAGCUCUGCACCUAAAAUACCUUUCCAGCACCCUGGUGGGUGCCACCCCAACUCAGCAAAUAUCACGAGAAAUUUGCUCAGCUGCUGCAUGGGAAAAACAGCAGAUGCAGGGCUGGGAACGCUGCUCGAGAGGAACCACAGGGAUGUGCAGGGCACACUGCUGCAACUGCUCUGCUUACGAGAUACGGAAGAAACCUGCUCAGCUAAAUAAGGGAAUAAACCAUGCAAAUAAAGAAAUAAAACCACGGGCCAGCUGCAGACAAGCGGCGAGAGGGAGGCCUAGGCAUUAUUUCGGAGGUUGCCUGGUAACAGGCGGCUGCAGGGCUGGAGCUAUGCAGAACUACAGCGCUGCAUUGUGGCUCUGAAUCACAGGGAAGUGUCCUCCGAGGGGCAGCAGGGCAGAGCAAUGGCUGGUGUGGGGGCACCUGCUAAGGGCGAUCCCCCAGCAAAGGGAUCUCUAAUUGAAGUGGCAAAAGGCUGCGCCCUGCCUGCCCUGAUCAACUCCAAAGCACGCCCGCCUAGCCUGUAAUACCAUCCGGAAUAAAACGAUGUCCUUUACAGUCA